UAAGCUAACGGUGGACUUGAGUUGUUACUUGUUAGCGCAGCCAAGGCACUGCUCGAGUUGAUAGUGGAGGAUGUAAUACCUUCGCUGAAAGCAAUACUUGAAGCACAAGACGAUGUCUCCGACGUCGGAUUAUCAUUCCAAGAUGACAGAUUGGAUGGUUCAUUCUUGAAAAAUGGAGUUCCCUACUUGGGCUUUCUUCCCCAAUGGCCUCUCAGGUACUUCAAUUCUUUGAGAAUGUAAUUACUUUGUCGUUGUCAUCACCCUUUUACCUCCUGGCUUCCAAUGUCUUUUGUUAGAUACAAAAAUGAUGAAUGCAAGUAUGAACAAAUUAUC